CCGUUUUGCUAUUAGGGUUGAACCCGUGUACUCCAUUCGAGAUCGAAGCAAAACCUUUGUUCCAAGAGAGUUCUUUCAUCUUCUUCCCUGUCAAUCCGCAGAGAUGCCGGUUACAGACUAGCCCUCUUCAGUUCCUUCUUAAAUCCAUACCCCAUGAUCUCUCUUGAAUGCGAUCUUGGGCGUGGAAUUUUGACUAUAAAAAGGUACGCUUUCAUGCUAUGAGAACCAUCUCCUAAUUUCGUUUUCACAAACCAGUAAUCUAAUGUUGAGUAGAAUGGCUAAUGCUACAAUCUUUCCCAUUUGAUUUGAGGACCGGACAAUGCUCCUCCACCGUUCAAGUGCGGUUGCUUCGUUAUUGGGAGGCCAGGAACGCCCGACUCAGUGGCGAACUCAUGGGAGUCGAUAUGUUGCUACUUGAUUCCCAGUCGGUGAAAAAAUUCUGUAAUGAAUCGCUGCCAAAGAACAGAAGACCUCUAGAUACUACCGCCUGUGAAAAUCCUCCUGUGAAUCGCUGUCGUCUAAGCUCCGGCCGUACAGUAGGAAGUGAUAAGUUCAUCUUCAAGUAUACGACGAAGUCACGGAAAGGAGAUGGAUAGUUGGAGUGCAUAGAUUAUUCUAUUCAUCUUUCUUUGUGGCGUGCUUCCUUUUUGGGCUGAUUUCCAAUUUGACCCAGCUAUAGAAACUCUUAAUUCUCACCGUGAGUGUAUGGAUGUGAGGACUUGACAGAAACACAAGAAGAAGAGUAAAGUGCAACUCAAGCAACUCAUUACUCAUUGUUUGCCAAAAAAAAAACUCAUUACUCAUUCGUGUGGAAGGAUGAUGAAUGUUUAAUCAUGUGUUGUUAUGUUGUGUACUUCUGCAUUUAAUUAUGUUUUAUGAAUUGUUCACUCAGCCACAUUAUGCAUUUUGUGCUUCACAGUUUUCAUUAGCUAUGGAAAGACAAU